GCGGACGUGGCGGAACUGGCAGACGCACUGGACUUAGGAUCCAGCGGGGCAACCCAUGGGAGUUCGACUCUCCCCGUCCGCACCA
rnacentral:tRNA from 2 species